CGUCGACCUGGGCGACUUUCGCCGGGUCCACGGUGGUCUGGUAGGCCACCGUCAGGUCGGCCGCCUGGGCAAACCAGCUGGUGCCGGCCAGGGUCAGGGC
rnacentral:tRNA from 2 species